rnacentral:rRNA from 1 species
UACGAAGGGAGCUAGCGUUGUUCGGAAUUACUGGGCGUAAAGAGCGCGUAGGCGGUUUAACAAGUCAGGCGUGAAAGCCCUGGGCUCAACCCGGGAAUUGCGCUUGAGACUGUUUUUCUUAGAGUACGAGAGAGGUAAGUGGAAUUCCCAGUGUAGCAGUGAAAUGCGUAGAUAUUGGGAGGAACACCAGUGGCGAAGGCGGCUUACUGGCUCGUGACUGACGCUAAGGCGCGAAAGCGUGGGGAGCAAACAGG